AGGGUGUAAACGCUGCGGGCUUGGUGUUGGGGUCCUUUGAGGGCGCCCCAGUGCCGGAGAGAAGUUGUUAAGCCUGCUGCUUGGGGAGUACGUCCGCAAGGAUGAAACUUAAAGGAAUUGGCGGGGGGAGGCACCGCAACGGGAGGAGCGUGCGGUUCAAUUGGAUUCAACGCCGGACAACUCACCAGGAGCGACGGUUACAUGAAGGCCAGGCUGAUGACCUUGCCUGAUUUUCCGAGAGGAGGUGCAUGGCGUCAGUGAC
rnacentral:rRNA from 1 species